rnacentral:lncRNA from 1 species
AGGGGGGGAGGUCGCUGUGGGAGAGUGUAGCUGUAAUAGAAGCAGGGGCCCAGGGGGCAUACCUCUUAGGCAGAAGUCACCACCUACUGGGUCACCAGGGUUCAAGGCUUGUACUCAACCUGAGGCCAGGCUGUCUAUGCACAGCUCACCACCCCACAAAUUCCCUUAACACCCAUUCCUUUUCUUGCCCUCCACUGAUUUAUUGUCUUAUAGUUUCAAACACCCAUGGAGAUGAGGAUGAUACCUCCUCCCACUACUAAGAAAACCCAACUAAAGAAGAAUUUGUACCCCAACAAGAAUCAGCACACAACACAGAGAGUCUAGGAGACUGUGAAGUCCAGGCUCAGAAGACAGGAAAGGGUGAGGGUCACAGGAAGCUGAUAGAUUGAAAGGACAUUGAAAAUCCACAGGCAGUGAGGAAUGGUGAGAAAGAAGUCAUCUUCUGAAAGCCAGGUGUUCACCUUCACAGAAAGCAGCCAUUCCAGACCUUGAUCUUGACCUUCUGGCCUCCACAAAUGUGAAAAGCCAAAAUUCUAUUGUUUAAACUACCAAUGAUUUCUCAGAAGCAUUUGUAUUAAAUAUCUUUUUCUAUGGUUGCACAUGCUUUUGAUAUUUGUAGUCUUCAAGCAUUAAAGAC